GUAAGAGAUGGAUGAAAACUUUAUUUAGGCAAAUUAUCCUUUCACUCAUAUGAAGGAAAUGCAAGUAUUAAUAUCAGGAGCAAGUAUUCAUAUUCAGUAUUAUCUCUUAUUUUCAAACAAUUGCAAAGCAUGUUCCUGUGGUGCUCUAGGGUUGAGUCAGAAGUUGCAGCCAUUAAAAAGCCCUCUGUCAAGGAGAAAAUGUGAUUAGACCAACUGCUUGCACUGACACUUAAAAAUUAACUGCAAAUCUGUUUGGGGCAGCUAAGGCAUUCCCUAAACAGUUGCUGGUUGGGAAUGUUGGCUUUCGAAUCAUUAUUUUGUAUCCCUUAAAGGUACGUUUUAACUGUUUUAAUAUGUGAGGAACAGGCCUGCCAAAUUGUGCUUAUGGCUUUUUAACACAAGCAAUUUACAAAUGCAAUGAAGCAGAUAAUAGGACACAUGAUACUGAAUUUGAAAAUCUGUGUUGAUGACACUGCUGCUGUAGAAACAUUUUUGGAAGCAGCCCUCUAUCCAGUUGCCUGGAUAAGAAAAAUGUUGUUUAUCAUUUCACAGGUGGCCUCUUUCACCCAAUGGUGAGUUUAGGGUCAUGUCCUUGAGCACAAAUCAGUCUCUCUCAGACUAACAAUAUUACACUUGAAAUCCCCUGGAAUCUAUGCAUUUAGGAAAAUACAACACACAGCAAAAAUCUCACUCAACACUAAAAACAAAACUAGUCAAGUAACCGUCAAAACUAAGUGCUUUCAUUUUAAAAUGAAGACUUCUGACAAAGUUUAGUUAGGUAGUUUUAUCUGUAAACACAUGUAUUUGUGAAGAAUGCAAAAAGAUAUUUUAUACUGGUCCAAACUAUAGAUGCAAUAAAUUUUUCAUUACAAAGCUUUACAAGAAUAAUUUUUAAAACAAUUGAACUGGAGUUCUUUAAAUUUCUUACUUUUUAUGGGAAAAAAAUAAUUUUACUUUGGUAAAAGAAUGUUUCCAAGCAAUGAUCUGAUAGGUAGGCUCAUUUUAGCUCCAAAGUAAGACUAAAAACAUAGUGUGACUUCCUUUCAUAUUCACUCUCCAUCACUGUUAUCUUUGUUCUUCAAAAGGUCACUUGAGUGAGCUCUUAGUUAUGAAAAUAUGGUUUCUCCCAUCCCCAUAUCCCUUGGGAUGGGAAGACUAAUUAGCUUUAAGAGAAGGAAGGGAUGAGAAUUCAAAGUUUUCGCUUUGAGAUUUCAAUUUAGGACAGAACAGACCGACCCUAAACUAGGUAGAUAGGCAGAAAGGAAUGAAAACAAAUACCCAAAAUGAGAACUUUCCAUAAAGACAGAGACUGGGCUGAAUUAUGUAAACCUCUUCCUCUCUGUACUUGGUACUUUCAGUGUACUAUUUCCAGUUGACCCACAAUACCCUUCCUUUAAUCCUUUGCACUAUCUAUAAAUUACCUACACAUCCUUGCCCUUUACUGGUCUGUUUUGGCUUGGUUCAUUUUCUCUUAGAGAAGCAACCUCUAACCUCGCCAAAUUCAAGGAGGAGAGAGGUGGACCCCACCUCCUGAUGGAAGGAAUAGCAAAGAAUUUGUGGCCAUGUAUUGACUAGUAUAGUCCAGCCUCUGGCCACAAUUUUUUUAUGUUUUCUUUACAAUUAAAUAUGCUUUUAAUCUCUCAGGAUCCCCAUAUGCCUUGUGCAGUCAGAUGUUGCAUGGUGUUCAGUCAUCUGAAAACCCUACAGGACUAAUGGUAGAGAUUAUCUAUUCCUGGGACCUCAGCCCAGCCUAUCCGCUAGAAUCCCUACAAGUGGUUUCACCAUGUUGCUUGGGUUUCUCACAGGAUUGUGACAGAGUUCUAGGCUUAUUUGCUUAAUUUACUACCUUGUUAAGUUCCUACCUUUCCAACUAAUGGGAAUAGUUAUUCCUGAGGAAGAUUACAAAAUAAAACCAAAAACGAACUUUGGACCCUAACUCCCAAGUGCUCCCUGUGUAAACACAACAAUGAAAUAACUAACUCUCUCAACUAUAAAUCCAUUUGAAAAGAAAAAGAAAUAAAACAAUUAUUGAAUGUUAAAAUUGUGCUGCUAUUGUAUAGGUAAUGUUAGCACAAGGAUAGCAAGAACAAUUUGCAUAAUAAAUAUUCCUAUUCUUUUUUUCUAGUUAGUACAAUAAUUGAACAGCACCCAUCAGUGAAGGAGGACAAAAGAGGGCUAUUAUCAUAAACAUUAGUUUGAUCUUUCAAGGAGAUUUGAUUACCUUCUACCCAGAUUCCAUUUCCCCCACUUGAACGGCGGUUCUGCCUUUCAUCAGUUGAAUGUCAAGUGCCUUUGCUGCAUCCAAGUGCUACCAAGCUGGCCAAAUUCCACAUAAAGGGCAAAGAACAGCUUUUUCGUGGUAGAAUUUAUAAGAAGCAUGGCUCUUUCAUGAUAACACCUCUCAUGAAAAGAACGCAGAUGCAAGAUAAGCUAAGAAGGUCAUGAUCUUAAAAAAUGAUGAAAGAUGCAAAACUACUUAACACACCAGUAAAACUGACUUAGCUUCAUCUUUCCCCAGGUAAGGAUAUAUAUUUUCAUGUUAAAAAAAAAAAUUCUUAAAACUCCUACUAACCUCUGCCAAAUGUUUUCCUUCGUUCUUCGUUUAGUCCAACAUUGAAGGAGUUAAAUUUAAUCUUGGAAACACGCUAGUAAGGCUAUUCAUAGUUCAGGGAUGAGGAAUGAAUAUAUGCAUAUGUAUAUAUUCAAUUUUGUGAGUCACUCAUUUUAAUCAGUAACAUAAGGAUUAAUUCAGAGAAAACACUAAAUCAAUCCAAUAUUGAAAACAGUUUUUCAUUGAGGAACAUUUAUCUUUCAAUUUUCUUGUAUGAAUUAAGGCAUUUACAUACUGAAUCUGGAGAUCUUGAACAAAAAGACAAAUACCUCUUCUCACUCCAGAGGGAAUGACAGUAUGUCCUUCCACCCAUUCCUUCUACUGUGCUGACAAGGGAGACAGUAGAGUGGCUUUCCCACCUCUAGAUAAACACAGAAGGCAUUCCUCGGUGGAUUAUAGCAGAUUGGCUCUGAGAUACAGAGGAGAGACUUACUCAAUUACGCCAUAAGGCCUCCUAAAGGAAAGAUUUCAGGCACGAGAAAUACGGAAGAACUCUAGGCGCAUAACCUGGAGACCUAGAUUCAAACCCCAGCUUUGCCACUGAGAUCAGGUACUCCUGGUUAAGCCUUUCCACCUCUCUGUGCCUGCAAUCCCAAAACAGAAUGCUGAACCAAAUAAACUUUAAAGUUCUUUAAAGGGGUUGAUCACCUGUCAGAGUUUUGUACCCCAAAUUUCAUCUCAGUAUCUGCUCCUGGAGAACUCAAUCUGCAAUACAUGCCUCCAUGGGUCUGUCUUCUUCAUUCUCUGAUUCUCCUGCAAGGUCCAACUCAAAUAAUACCCUCAAGAAACAUUUCUUGAUCAUUCUAAUCAGGAAUAGUUAUUCAUUUUACUCACUUUACUGUCCUCCUGAAUUGUGUUUAUACCUUUAUUGAGCAAGUCAUUUAUUUCUUAUAUUAAGCUAGCAGUUUAAAUUUUAAAUUUAGGAAAGCAUAGUCUGUGUCUUAUUCAUUUUUGUAUGCCCCACAGUGCAUAACAGAUAAGAGUUAUGAAUGAAGGAAUAAAUUAGUGUAUGAUCUGGAAUCUGUCUAAACCUCUUCUUUGUUCACUUCUCUAUUAUAACUGAAAUGAAAUCCUGCCAAUAUUUCACACACAUACCCGGCCCCUUCUAUUUUUUCAGCCGUUUGUUAUAUCUAGCCUCUGCUUUCCAAUCCAGCUAAGCAAAUCUGCUUGGCAUGGUACAUGCUUUUCCUGUCUUUAAGCCAUCACAUAAAAGAUGACUCCUCUGACAACCUGUUCCCGCCUUUAAAAUAUUGUUUCAGACCCUCCUUCAACAUGAAGUAUCCCAGGGUACUACCCUCCAAUUCCAGCUACCUCGGGAUCUUCUACUUCACAUAUUUCAGGUAUCUAAUAUCUGUCUAAAAAUCUUUAUGAUUCAUCAGAACAGUAGACAAUUUUUAGGUUAAGUCUUUUUUAAAAUGAUAGUCUCUCUAUGAGAAAUGCUAUAUACAUGGCAGAUGCAGCCAUAAAAAGGAACAGCAGCAGCAAAAAGAAUUAAUAAAUUCAUCUUGUAAUAUUCUUCUUUCAGUUGCUACAACAUUGCAUUCUUUGGCUUUUCUAACUCACUGAGGGCUCCU